rnacentral:lncRNA from 12 species
UUUUUUUUUAAUUUGACUAUGGAAAACUCUGUCCCCAAGUUUCCAGAUGUUUGAGCCCAUGACUAUCUGCCCAGUAGUUUAUGAUGAGUAGUGACUAGAAGAUAUGCCAAAAUAGGAAAUGGGCAAAUCUUUCAGGCUGACUUUCCCCCACUUGUCACUGCAUAAAGAAUCUGUUGUGAUCUCACUUCCUGAUAUUUAGUCUCAAUUUACUAGAAUCCAGCUGUUCCAAACACUGUGCCUUCCCAUUGCUUACUUGGAUUCUGGAGCUUAAUUCAAAAUUUCCCUUGGGAGCUCCUGGGAACUGAGAUCAUCCUGGUUAGUGAGGUGCUGCUAGAAAACCCAAAGAUGGAGUUGCACAUCCCCAGAAAUAUGGGACUUUCAUGUCUGAAGUGAUCAAGCAAUUCUUAAAGGCUAAGCUAGCUGCUAACUAUCAGCACUGGCUUGACACCUUUGAACUUGAAAUCAGAAUGAACCAGAUCACAUGUGUUGCUUAAAAUUCAAGGCCAGGCAUCUUGGGCCUUGUGAAAACUAGGUGAGUGUACUCUGUUCUUCAUGCACACUUACUACUGCACUGGAUUCUUCAUCCUGGGGCAUGGGAUGGGACAUGUGGAUUUAGAGGGAAAUGCCUAGUUGAAGAAGACUAAGUGUUAUCAAAGAUCCUUCCAAGUCUUAAGGAAAUAUGUGGGGUUAUUUGGAUACAAGUUGGAAAGAUUUUAGAAACCCUUUUUUCUCACUAAUAAAUGCUCACUGUAGAAAAUGCAGGGGGAAGGAGCUAAAUCUCAUUAGGAUAUAUCUUUAUUUUUUUUUUCUAAAAGAAAGAAAAAGAAAAAGCCUAUCUCUUUCUUUUUAUAGCCCACCUUGUACCCAAGAGGCAAUGUUGUAGUGAAGAAAAUUAAUGUCAUUGAGAAUAAUAUGCUGAAGUUAGCAUGAGUCCAAACUCAUUUUAUGACUUCAACCUUCAUGUCCAAAUGGAAAGAAAAGAUACAUGGACUUACUGCUCAGCAGUAUCAAAUCUUUCUCCAAGGGCGUAUUUUACAAGGAAAAAAGGAUAACAUCCCAGAGUACAGCAACUAUGUGUUGGGAGACACUGGGAAUUGGAAGAUGAGCACAGACAUGGAUGAGAACAGAGAAAGGCAACAGAGGCCUCUCGGUAUUGCCAAAGCCAACCUCUGCCACUUCUACUACAUCUGCUCCAUUCUCCAGUUGCUGGCUGCUCGGAUAAAGGAAAGAAUUCGAUCUGAGGGUUGA